rnacentral:rRNA from 1 species
UACGGAGGGUGCAAGCGUUAAUCGGAAUCACUGGGCUUAAAGGGUGCGUAGGCGGCAGUGCAAGUUGGGUGUGAAAUCCCUCGGCUCAACCGAGGAACUGCGCCCAAAACUGCGUCGCUUGAGGAAGAUAGAGGUGAGUGGAACUUAGGGUGGAGCGGUGAAAUGCGUUGAUAUCCUAAGGAACACCAGUGGCGAAAGCGACUCACUGGGUCUUCUCUGACGCUGAGGCACGAAAGCUAGGGUAGCGAACGGG